rnacentral:rRNA from 1 species
AUGUUCUAUCCCACUCUGCCGCCUCACCCCUCCGCGCCCGCCGCCCACGCGCUCGACCUCGCAGCCGACUUCUACUUCACCUUCAUCCCCUCCCACUACCGCUGGACCGUGCAGGACAUCCACGACGGCCGCGUUCUCCUCGAAGGCGACAUUGAAAAAGAUGAGCGGCCCCCUGUUUUCAAAGAUCUCGCGGUGUGCGACCCCUUGCACCGGCGGUACGUCCUGCUCCCCCCGGUACCUCAUGACCUAGCCGCUUCGCUUGAGCACCCGUUCCCCAUGGUAAGCGAGGCCUGGUGCAAGGCUUUCCUCGUUCCCCUCGGCGAGGAGGAGGUGGCGGCGGGAGAGACAACAUUCAGAGUGAUCUUGAUGGCAAAUUGCAAAACUAGUCUGGCUGCCUUCGUCUUCUCCUCAAGCACUGGGCAAUGGGAAGCCGCUGCAUCCAAGGGUUGGAGCGAUUUGGCCCUUGGCAAGCACGACAUGGCCGAGAUGUCAUGGGUCCACCCUUUUAUUCUCAGGCGCCAUUAUGCUUAUGACUGCUUCUACUGGGACUGGGUGGAAUUUGGGAGGAAAAAAUUGCUCUUGCUUGACACCAGGAGCAGGAAGAUGGAGUUCUCCAUUGCUGACCUCCCGCCUGGAGAAUGGAGCACGAAAGGAGGAAUAGCCAUUGUGGAGGCAGGGGAAGGGAAGCUUGGGAUGUUUGGUUUCCAUGGUGAAACUUCACCCGAUCUCAGCUAUACCAUUGCACGGAACAAAGGCAAGAGUCCCAGCCAGUGGCAGAUGGAGAAGACAAUCUCACUAGAUUAUGGGUACAGAUAUUUUAUCAGAGAUGCAACACAGAGGUACUUGGUCUUCACAAGGAGAGAAGCCUCAUCUCUAGAGAAUCCACUUGCUGGAUAUUUCUCAAUGGAUGUCAAGACGUUCCAGCUACAAAGGCUUUAUGAUGAUCCACAAUAUUUUAUAUAUCGGACACACACAUAUAUCAACUUCCCACCAUCAUUCUUGUCUUCAUGUAGAAUAUGA